rnacentral:rRNA from 1 species
UACGUAGGGUGCGAGCGUUAAUCGGAAUUACUGGGCGUAAAGCGUGCGCAGGCGGUGAGCUGUGUCCGAUGUGAAAGCCCCGGGCUUAACCUGGGAAUGGCAUUGGAAACUGGCUCGCUGGAGUGUGGCAGAGGGGGGUGGAAUUCCGCGUGUAGCAGUGAAAUGCGUAGAGAUGCGGAGGAACACCGAUGGCGAAGGCAGCCCCCUGGGCUAACACUGACGCUCAUGCACAAAAGCGUGGGGAGCAAACAGG